rnacentral:rRNA from 1 species
AUACAGAGGGUGCGAGCGUUAAUCGGAAUUACUGGGCGUAAAGCGCGCGUAGGCGGUCUAUUAAGUCAGAUGUGAAAUCCCCGGGCUCAACCUGGGAACUGCAUCUGAUACUGGUAAGCUAGAGUUUGGGAGAGGGAAGUAGAAUUUCAGGUGUAGCGGUGAAAUGCAUAGAGAUCUGAAGGAAUACCAGUGGCGAAGGCGACUUCCUGGCCUAAAACUGACGCUGAGGUGCGAAAGCGUGGGUAGCAAACGGGAUUAGAAACCCCGGUAGUCC